rnacentral:rRNA from 1 species
UACGUAGGGUGCGAGCGUUAAUCGGAAUUACUGGGCAUAAAGCGUGCGCAGGCGGUUUUGUAAGCCAGAUGUGAAAUCCCCGGGCUUAACCUGGGAACUGCAUUUGUGACUGCAUCGCUGGAGUGCGGCAGAGGGGGAUGGAAUUCCGCGUGUAGCAGUGAAAUGCGUAGAUACUGGGAGGAACACCGGUGGCGAAGGCGGCUACCUGGACCGGUUCUGACGCUGAUGCGCGAAAGCGUGGGUAGCAAACAGG